rnacentral:rRNA from 1 species
CAGCCGCCGCGGGAAUACGGAGGGUGCAAGCGUUAUCCGGAUUUAUUGGGUUUAAAGGGUCCGUAGGCGGACUUAUAAGUCAGUGGUGAAAGCCUGUCGCUUAACGAUAGAACUGCCAUUGAUACUGUAAGUCUUGAGUAUAUUUGAGGUAGCUGGAAUAAGUAGUGUAGCGGUGAAAUGCAUAGAUAUUACUUAGAACACCAAUUGCGAAGGCAGGUUACCAAGAUAUAACUGACGCUGAGGGACGAAAGCGUGGGUAGCGAACAGGAUUAGAUACCCGGGUAGUCCCUGUCUCUUAUAA